GCCGACAAGGAUUCGGUAUGAACGAAGGCAAUAUGGCUUUGAGCUAUUGGAUUUGGUGGAGGUUGGACAAAGGGAGUGUUCUGGAUCCGUCGAAGACGUGCCACGGAGUCGGCUUGUGCAAGUGGAGGCCGAAGGAAGCAGUCGUGAGGACGUAGGGGGACUGAUGUCAGCCACCGGCAUGCAUGUGGAUGCCAUUGGAUGUGAAGAUGCACCGGGGAAACUUCGGGCCACUGAUCCUACCA
rnacentral:lncRNA from 1 species